rnacentral:rRNA from 1 species
AGAGUUUGAUCCUGGCUCAGGAUUAACGCUAGCGGCAGGCCUAAUACAUGCAAGUCGAGGGGCAGCAGGGUGUAGCAAUACAUCGCUGGCGACCGGCGCACGGGUGCGUAACACGUAUGCAACCUUCCCUUAACAGGAGAAUAGCUUUGAGAAAUCAGAAUUAAUACUCCAUAACACUGCAGAGUGGCAUCACUCAGCAA